rnacentral:pre_miRNA from 1 species
GAAAUACUUCCUCCGUUCGGAAUUACUCGUCCAAGAAAUGAAUGUAUCUAAAUGUAUUUUAGUUGUAGAUACAUUCAUUUUUAUGACAAGUAAUUCCAAACAGAGGGAGUAAUAG